GAUGAACGCUGGCGGCGUGCCUAAUACAUGCAAGUCGAGCGAACAGAUGAGGAGCUUGCUCCUCUGACGUUAGCGGCGGACGGGUGAGUAACACGUGGAUAACCUACCUAUAAGACUGAGAUAACUUCGGGAAACCGGAGCUAAUACCGGAUAAUAUAUUGAACCGCAUGGUUCAAUAGUGAAAGACGGUUUUGCUGUCACUUAUAGAUGGAUCCGCGCCGCAUUAGCUAGUUGGUAAGGUAACGGCUUACCAAGGCAACGAUGCGUAGCCGACCUGAGAGGGUGAUCGGCCACACUGGAACUGAGACACGGUCCAGACUCCUACGGGAGGCAGCAGUAGGGAAUCUUCCGCAAAGGGCGAAAGCCUGACGGAGCAACGCCGCGUGAGUGAUGAAGGUCUUCGGAUCGUAAAACUCUGUUAUUAGGGAAGAACAAAUGUGUAAGUAACUAUGCACGUCUUGACGGUACCUAAUCAGAAAGCCACGGCUAACUACGUG
rnacentral:rRNA from 1 species